AGAGUUUGAUCAUGGCUCAGAACGUACGCUGGCGGCACGCCUAACACAUGCAAGUCGAACGAAGUAGCAAUACUUAGUGGCAGACGGGUGAGUAACAUGUAGGUAUCUACCCUUUGGCCUGGAAUAACACGAGGAAACUUGUGCUAAUACCGGAUAAGUCUUUACGGAGAAAGCUUUAUGCACCAUUGGAUGAGCCUGCACUUGAUUAGUUUGUUGGUGGGGUAAUGGCCUACCAAGACUGUGAUCAAUAGCUGAUUUGAGAGGAUGAUCAGCCACAUUGGGACUGAGACACGGCCCAAACUCCUACGGGAGGCAGCAGUGGGGAAUCUUGCACAAUGGAGGAAACUCUGAUGCAGCGAUGCCGCGUGAGUGAAGAAGGCCCUUGGGUUGUAAAGCUCUUUCGUCGGGGAAGAAAAUGACUGUACCCGAAUAAGAAGGUCCGGCUAACUUCGUGCCAGCAGCCGCGGUAAUACGAAGGGACCUAGCGUAGUUCGGAAUUACUGGGCUUAAAGAGUUCGUAGGUGGUUGAAAAAGUUGGUGGUGAAAUCCCAGAGCUUAACUCUGGAACUGCCAUCAAAACUUUUCAGCUAGAGUAUGAUAGAGGAAAGCAGAAUUUCUAGUGUAGAGGUGAAAUUCGUAGAUAUUAGAAAGAAUACCAAUUGCGAAGGCAGCUUUCUGGAUCAUUACUGACACUGAGGAACGAAAGCAUGGGUAGCGAAGAGGAUUAGAUACCCUCGUAGUCCAUGCCGUAAACGAUGUGUGUUAGACGUUGGAAAUUUAUUUUCAGUGUCGCAGCGAAAGCGAUAAACACACCGCCUGGGGAGUACGACCGCAAGGUUAAAACUCAAAUGAAUUGACGGGGACCCGCACAAGUAGUGGAGCAUGUGGUUUAAUUCGAAGAUACGCGCAGAACCUUACCAACACUUGACAUGUUCGUCGCGACUUUAAGAGAUUAAAGUUUUCGGUUCGGCCGGACGAAACACAGGUGCUGCAUGGCUGUCGUCAGCUCGUGUCGUGAGAUGUUGGGUUAAGUCCCGCAACGAGCGCAACCCUCACUUUUAGUUGCCAUCAUUAAGUUGGGCACUCUGAAAGAACUGCCAGUGAUAAGCUGGAGGAAGGUGGGGAUGACGUCAAGUCCUCAUGGCCCUUACGUGUUGGGCUACACACGUGCUACAAUGGUAUCUACAACAGGAAGCAAGACUGCGAAGUUAAGCAAAUCCUCAAAAGAUACCUCAGUUCGGAUUGCACUCUGCAACUCGAGUGCAUGAAGCUGGAAUUACUAGUAAUCGUGGAUCAGCGUGCCACGGUGAAUGCGUUCCCG
rnacentral:rRNA from 1 species